CAGUUGCCAAGUUUUUCUGCAAGUGAGAUUUACCUGGAACAGCACUGUUGAAAUCAUCAUGUCCUAAUUGAGAGUUACUGAAUACGACAAUGAAGCCAGAGUCAAACUAAGCCUGAAAGUACAAUAUACUGAUGCUGAACAUAAAACAAGCCAGACAAGAUGUUGACUGUUGCUGAAGCAGGACGGGGAGUCUUGGUUGCUUCCUAACAUUCUUUAAUUUGUGUGUGCCUGCCGUUUUCCUACAUGGAGGAUGGAGGGUCGGUUCUGGCUGGAUGGACGAUGGUCUUCGUAUGCCCAGUAUAUGUGGAUGAGGCCAGGUCCCGAAGCUAGCUGGGAAAGCUAGACCAGCAAUCUCAAGACUUAGCGCUUCCUUCCCUCUUAGAGUCUCAGUUCCCUGAAGGUGCCUUCCCGUUUCUCACAGCCAUGGUGCACCCCUCUUCUGACCUGAGACACAGCCUUGCUGGUCUGCAUCUUAGCACAGAGGAAAGAGGGAAAACCUGCCAGAGGGUGAUCAGGGGAUAACUGGGGAUUUUUGAUCUGAUCACCAUACACCUACGUGGUAUACAGACUCAACCUUCCCAAGAGAACUAAUUUGUUGAAUCUUUAGAGAUGGUGGUUAUACUCACUCAACCAUUUUGAUUCAAUAUUAUGCUUCUGCAAGGCAUCACAGUUAAGUAAAUAUGCACACGUGUGUGUCAGUGUGACUGCAUGCCGCUUGUGUGGGAGGGCUUAUGGAGGCCUGACGGUGAUGCUAGGAACUAAACUCAGGUCCUCUGGAAGAGAUGCAAUCCCUCCAGCCUACAGUGCAUCUCUAAUUUUUCACUUCGCUUUACGAAUAUAAUUAGCCAGGUGUGACAAUACACGCCUUUAAUCCUAGCACCUGGGACUUGAUUCAAGAUGGUGGCAGUUGCUGGCAUCUGAGGGCUUUGGGAGCCCCUUUAGGGAUCCUGAGAGACCCAAGGAAGCUUAGAGUGGAGAUGCAGAUGAACCCCCAGAGCGCACUGCAUCUCCAGAAUAACUUAAAAAAAAAAAAAAAAAAAAAAAAAAAAAGGCAGGUUUUGUUGGAAGAUGCUUUUUAAAAGUAGUUUCAUAUAACUGGGGGAAAAAUAAAAGAUGGCAGAACAGAGUCCCCCGCAGCAGAGAAAAGCACAAGCAGGAAGAAAGGAAGCAGUGAUAGGUAUGGGAGCAUGGGACACACAAAGAAGCAUGUUCUUAUGGAAUGGGGCUUGUCCACGGGAUGACAGGAGCCUCGAGACCCAUUAUGAAGCCGCAGCUGCUGCCGCUUAUGUGGCCCUCCCUGCUGGGCAGAGGAGGGCAUGGACCUUGGCGCUGCCUGUGGGUGAUGCCUGGGGUCCUGGCAGGGCGCCAAGGGCAGGGUGGUGAACAGCAGCCCGGAGCUUGAGCAGGCUCUGUCCCCGGACCUGCUGCCCAACUGUAUCGUCACCCUGACUCUGAGCAACAAAAGUUAUACUGAGGUGAAGAACGGGUUCGUUUUCUGGAUCAAGCCUCCUCAAAAGACGCCCCUCCCCCAGGAGACACGGACCGUGCCGCGGCCAGAGACCAUGUUGAUGUCUGUGAUUCGUGUUACUGCCGUAGGCCGUGUUCAUGUCCUCAAUCUAUGCUAUCACCAGAAACCUUGUUGAAGUCCUGUGUGGUCUGUGUUUCCGGAGACCAUGUUGAAGUCUGUGCUCUGUGCUGCUGCCUCCAGAAACCAUGUUGAAGUUCAUAUUCUGUGCAGCUGCCAGCUGGUAGCCCCCUACCUGGACCCCUCGCCCGGAAAAAAAAAAAAGAGAAAAGGAGAAAAGAUGCUGAUAAAGAUGCUGAAGUGUAACUCUUCUCAGCUGAUGGCUUCCAGCCGGGGUGGGAGUAGGGGUGGAAAGGCCUCAGGUAUCUUUAGGGGGCUGGCCAUUCAGAGUCUGACCAUGUUUCAAGGAGUGUCUGUGCAACACAAGUUAAACCUGGUGAAAUUUUAUUUUGGUGGGGGGAGGUGAGGGGCAAAGAGGGCAUGAUCUGGGUGAAUUGUUUGAAACUCCCAAACACUUAAUGAAAAUAUUAUGUUGGGGGGAAAAAAAAUCCUAGCACUGAGGAGGCAAAGACAGGCACAUCUUUGUGGGUUUGAGAUCCACUUAGUACUGUGUUUCAGGGUGGGGGGGGAUAUGUAAUUAGAACAUAUG
rnacentral:lncRNA from 1 species